rnacentral:lncRNA from 1 species
AGAGGAGUAGGGAUUGAAAGGCCAAAUAUGUCUGAACAUCUAGGCAACCUGGGUCUCCAGCUCAUGAGAAAGAUAUCAAGACCUGGAUCCCAGUGAUGGAUACAUGAGACAAAGAUUAGGGAAUGCUGAAGAUGUGUUCCCAUGAGUUCCUGCCUCCUUGUACCCCACUGAGUGGAAUGUUAAAAAUACGGAGAAAGCAAUUUCUACAGAUGCAGUCCCACCUCUGGCCAUGGCCAAAAUUAGCUGGAUAAUUCUUUGAAUCUGGCUAAUGUGGAAUCUUGCAAGGACAAAGAGGAUUUGCUCACGAACUGGGAAGAAUUAUCAUACCAAAUCAAUGAGGAUAUUUGCUGCCAAAGGCUUAGGCAUGGAGGCCAACUGGAUUCUCAUCCAUGACCCUGAUAGGACAUCCUGAACCCCAUUUAUGUUGUUUUAAGAGUGAUUCCAUAACCUCAAGAGGGCUCUACUUCCCACUGGAGCCCAGAAGAAGCAGCAAGAAGAUGGCACAAAGACAGAGUCCUCCACUAGUGAGCCUCUUUAUCUUCCUUCUACAGAAACUCUGCAGAAACAGCAACUCAGGCUGUCCCUUAAGCAGCUUCAUUGUCAAAGGCUCAAUAGAAUUCUCCUUCUGAACAAAGGGAGCUACAUUUCUUUAUCUGUCUAAUUAAUGCUUAGACUUAAAAAGAAUGUAUUCAGUCUGCAGCCUAGAGAGGAUGAGCUACCUGAAAUAAAAAAAGUAUUUUCCUUUGGAA